rnacentral:rRNA from 1 species
UACGGGGGGAGCAAGCGUUGUUCGGAUUUACUGGGCGUAAAGGGUUCGUAGGUGGCCAACUAAGUCAGACGUGAAAUCCCUCAGCUUAACUGGGGAACUGCGUCUGAUACUGGUCUGGCUUGAGUGCAGGAGAGGAACGCGGAAUUCCAGGUGUAGCGGUGAAAUGCGUAGAUAUCUGGAGGAACACCGGUGGCGAAGGCGGCGUUCUGGACUGCAACUGACACUGAGGAGCGAAAGCCAGGGGAGCAAACGGG